CCUCAAGUGAUCCUCCCACCUCAGCCUCCCAAAAUGCUGAGAUCAUAGGCGUAAGCCACCACACUUGGCCCCAGCCAAAGGUUUUAAUAGUAAUAUUUUGUAGAAAGAUUUAUCCUUUCAGCACACACAUGGAAAUGAUGUACAUUUCUUCUUGUCAACCUAUACAUUUAUCACUUACCAGGAUACAGAUUUUUACUUUAGUAUUGAGAAGUUAAUAAUAAAUUAAAUAUUCUCUACCUUGAAAAUAAUCCUGUCAACACACAUUUCUAACAAGUGAAUCUUUGGAAGUUUCUAACGGUCAAAACAACACUAUAAUAUUAACUAUUGCUAACAGCAUCUAGAAGGAAAAAGGACAAAUUCAAAAUUUAAAAUGCCCUCUUAAUCCAUAAAGACUACAGAGAACAAUUGCAGUUGAAAAGAAAAAUUUCUGACGCAGAAAAUUUCAACAAUUUAAAAAUAUCAAGAGUAAGAUUAUUCUUCCAAGUAAGUAUACAGAAAUAACCAAAUCUCUUAUCUUCAGGGAAUAACCUAAAAAUUAUAUAAAAUCAGCACCUAGAGGGAGAAAAUAUAAAGAGCAACCUCACAUUCUAUUAUAAAAGUAGUAUUCUGCAUCUACUUAUCAUUAAGAGUGUUCAAAAAUUUGCACUCAAUAUUCUCUUGUUUUUAAAAUACUUCAACUUCUGUAGCAGGAAGGUAAGGCCUUUAAGUCAGUAAAAUGUUGAUGGUAAAUCUAAGAACUGAAAUCUGAUACUGAGUAGGUUCAUGUGUCUUUAUGUCUUCCAGUUGUUCUUUUUUGACAAGUGGAUAAAUUAUUUCUUAGAGAUAUAGUGAGAUGUAAUCCCUUUCCAAAAAGACUCUCUGCAAAUUCAUCAUAAAGACAUCUAAGUUAGUCCAGAGUCCAGUAUUUUCUAAAAUGUUUAAUAAUUCAACGAAUCAGAACUAUCUGAAGAGUACCUUUACCAUGACGUUUAGUUAAAGACCACAGAGAUUAGAAAACACAUUACCCAUCUCAAAGGCAGUUCUUUCCAUGUUACAAGUCCCUUAACGACCUUUACCAUUUCUCCCUCCCUCCCACGUACUCUCUCUCUUUUAAUAAGGUUGAGCAAAUGGGACUUCAUUUUAUCUGAUUGCCAUAGACUAGUGAGAUUAAUUAUUCAUGCUCACACUCUCCCUCUUGUUAAGACCAUGCAUUAGACUAAUUUUUCUCUUUAUUGCCCUAGUUGGGUGAGUCUCAACCCAUGGCCACUUGACUCAUUCUCAGAGGUGUACAGAUAUGCUGGAAAAACCUACCCCAGCUCAAAUCCCAGAGAAAAUAUUCUGCACUAAUGUGGCUGCCAAAGAUGAUGUUGAGGAUGGUUCCUUUUAAGUACCAGGUGUAUAUUAGAGAAGAAUUUGAACAGUGAUUACAGAACAAAUUUUUGCAGGCAUUAGAUGUUUCUGUAAGAAUUAGCUAAAACAGCUAAACCAUGUUGAGGCUGGUUGUGUGCUUUACAAUGGUACUAUAGGAAAUGCAUGACACAGAGAAUUUUUCCUCCUCUUUGGCUUCCAGGUAGACCUAGAAGGCAAUGGGGGAAAAGCAAGCACUAUCUUUAAAAAUAACUUUAGCAGAAAGUUCUCUAUUCAUCUGUUUUUUUAAAUUAGAGACCUUAAAGUAUUUCCAUAAAUCCUAGUCUUAGAAUCUUAACUUGCAAUUUUGUCAGUGAUUCUGAUGUAUCUGAAAUCUAUUUCUAAAAAUCUUUUUCUGAUUUCAAAUAUGAUACAUCUUACAACAAAUUCUAACAUAACAGAAUUCUAUAAGGAAAGUGGUAGCCCUCUGUAUAUUCAUCUCUCAGAAAUCACCACUUUUAACAGUUUGAUAUAUAUACUUCUAGACUUUUCUUCUGCACAUCUGUCUCUGUGUGUAUGCACAUUUUUUUCCUAAAUGGGAUUAUUUCACAACUCCUUUUCCCUACGUGGCAGCACCUAUAGAUAGAUCUUGUACUUUUUCAUGGUUGUGUAGAAUUUCUCUGUGGAUACACAAUUCCAUGUGGAUUGUUUCUAAUUUUUAGAUAAAAUAAAUAAUGCUGUAAUUCAUUCAAGAGCCGGCCAACAGCUAUUUAUCAAUCAUCUUCUAGGCCCUGGAAUGAACGUGCAGGGGCGCUGGGUGGCGUGCAGAAGUCCCAGCCUGCUGCCAGCUGCCAGAGCCCGCCUCUUCCCCAGCUGGGGCCUGACCGCCAGCUGUCCUGCUCCUCCAUAGAUGGGCCUGCCUCUCUGAGGAGACUCACCGACCGUCUUCUAGCCAUGUCCUGGCAGCUGGUGUCUUAAGCAGCAGGGGUAGCGGUCCAGAGUCAGGAAGGAGACACCAGCCACAGUCCCAACAACGGGAAGGCAUCAGCCACCGCCGUGGGCAGGCAGGCCCCACAGCAUCCAGGUGUGGCCUGGACUGGCUUUCCAGGCACUGUGAAGGAAAGAGCUGAGAGAUGGCUCUUGUCCCUGUGGGGGGUGGGGGGGGGGGUGAGUUCAAGGCAGACCAGCUUCUUCCUUCACCCAGUAAAAAAUGGAUUAACACUGCAAGCUUUUCCUAAAUUGGGGGCUGUCACCCUCAUAAUUAAUCAUGAACCACUUGCAUACUGAAAUCACUGUGAAGAGAUUAUAGAGCCUUACCCUCCCAGAAUUUUGGUCCUAUACUGAUGAAUGAGGAAAGGAGCGCUGUGUUUUAAUUUUAUCGAAAUACUGAGUCUUCAUACUCAAAUACCUGCUACAGGCAUUAAACCAACAACAACCACCCCAGCAGCUGGCUCAGCUCCCCAGAAGCCCAGCACCGUCUGUCCAGAGAACUCAGGAGGAGUCGGAAGGCCUCCUUACAAGACGACAGCAUUUUAAAAGCUUUUUCAAUUGAAGAUGAUUUGUUGGCCGCCAUUUAAAAAAGGGAAGUGGCAAAGAGAGCCAAAGGUUAGGAGGUGCUGUGCUGGGCUGAGCAGAGUCUAAGAGAAGAGGCAAGAGAGGAAGAUGCGACUACACUUCCUGGAGAUGACACCAUCUACACACUUUCUGAUCCCUAGUAACCUAUCUCCAUCACUACCUCACAUAUGUGGCUCUUCUGAACGGGGAAGUCGUGAUCAGAAGCCAGAUGCUGGGCAGUGAGGCAGUUAAACCGCCUGCUCUCUCCUUUUCUGUCCACUCCCGCUGCCUUUGUGCUCGCUUCUCCGUGAUGUCCUCGGCACACAGUGCCCGCUCCCCUGGUCAGUGCUGAGAGUCCUUGCUGUCUGCACGUGUCACAUGGUGUUUUGACAAGGCCACCCUGACCUGUGUCUUAUCUUCUUCCGGCUCUUCCCUAGAUCUGCGGUUCUCAGAUACUGGAGGGGAGGAGGCAGUGACUCCAGCAGGUCGGGGAGGCUCUGCAGCACUAUUACCAAGCACCACACCGCAUCCCACCAAACACUGUAACACUCUCCUAGGCUUCAACGCUAAGGUUCCUGGGGGCAGAGAUGUUCUAUCAUUCAUUCACUCAUGUGGCAAUUAUUAAAGGGCAGCACAUCCCAGGUAUAGUGUCAGUUACACAUUCCCGCAUCUCACUAAGUGCCUGCGUUUGUGUUUGGAGGCUCACUGACUGGUACACAAUGCCAGGCAAAUCCAGAGCUUCCCAUAGCCUCAGACCCCGAAGAUACUCAGAUGUUGCUUUUAGUGCGUAACACCUUCCUCCACUCCUGGAUCUUGCUGCUGGUAUGUAAAAGAAGCUGCUCCAUCCUACCCAGAACAGAAGAUGGUUCCACAAAGAUCUCUUCAUACUAUCCAGAUGCCAGAGUGCCCCAACUGAUUCCAGUCUGACAGUCCCACCUCUGACAACAUGGCAGACAAGAAUGUCUGGAAAACCCUGCCAUUUACAGUGACCAUGCUGGAUAAGACUCAGCCUAACAUCAAACAGUCCUUCAGACAUUCUGUUUAAUAAGCAAUCAGAGAAAUCCACAGGAGCCCAAAAUGAAGAGAGCACGAAACCCAGGAAGGUAAGAGAGCAUUCAAGCCAGGGGCUAGUUUGGGCUCCCCCUCCAGUGUCAGGAGCCUGGAGAGCUGGGGAAACAGGAGACCAAGUGUCUGCCCAGCAUGGAGUAGAACCUACAGUCGGGUCCCUGCAGGGCUACAUACAUUCAGUAAAAAGCGAGCAAGAGGGGGAAAAUAUCUAUUGGUGCAGAUAGCUUACCCAGAAACUUCUCUGCCUCAGGUUCAGUUCAGGGUGGAAAACAGUCUGCAGUCACAUGUCUGCCGCCACACAAGUUCUGGGUUUGAGUUUACACCACCUGCAAGGCUAAAAGAACCCAAGCCUAAUAAGGUAUUUUCGGGUUGGUAACAUACCUCCUGGUACCUCGGCAGAAUCUUCUCAGGAGGGAAACAAUCUCAACUCAGGCCCCUUUAAGAAACCUACAAAUCAAGAUCAACUGAGUAUUAGCUCACAAUUAAAAAACAAAUCCAAAUACAGCAAGAAAUGAUUUAUCAUAUGUGAGACAGAAAAACAAGGAGAAUUAGACUUCCAGGCAAGAUCAAAUAAAGAAUACAAAAUAAGCAUGCUGAAAAUGUUGACAGAUUAAAGAGGGAGAGGAUAAAAAGUAGGAAAUCGGAUUAAGCAGAUUUGAAAAAUAAAGCAGAGAAUUUCUAGAAAUUAAAAAGUCAAUGGAUGAGAUAAGCAAGAAAUAAGUCCGAGAGAGAAACUGUGGACUGGAAUACAGAGUUAAGGAAUUAUGCGGAAUGCAACAUAGAGAGAGAUGGGAAAUCUGAAUGGGCAGUGAGCAGCACGAAGGAGGGGAGAAGCUGCCUUCAUGCACACCUCCCCUGAGCUCCACGCAGAGCAUCGCGAUACAUUUCCAAUAAGAUAAGGACCGAGAAUUCUCUACAACUGAAAGGAGGGACACACAAGAAAUCCCAGACAGGAUAAAAAUAAAUAAAUCCACACAAAGAGACACUGGCAUGAAACCACAGAAAAUUAAAGACAAGGAGAAGAUCUUACAAGCAGUCAAAAGGAGAGAAAGUCCUAAAAGAGAAUGACAGACUGACAGCCAACUCAGGAGUGUCAGUGGAAGGCAAACCAGUCACAUCCUCAAAGGCUGAGCGAAAAUAACUGUUGAGCUAGAACUGUAGAAGACUAGCAAAACUACCUUUCAAGGAUAAGGAUGUAAUGAAGAUGCCGUAAGAAAGAAACACAGAAAACACUUGUGACCAAGUCCUUACGAAAGAAACUUCUAAAGAAUGCACUUUUAGGAGACAGAAAAUCAUUCCAGAAGGAGGGUCUGGGUCAACAAAGAUUCAAGUAAUGGGCAUAAAAGAAUGCAGAUGCUGUCUGCAAAAACAACAGUGCUGAUUUGGGGGUUAAAUACACAGAAUAAUCUGUACCCAGUCUUUAUUCCAACCAGUCAAAUGCCAUGAAUCAGGAAAAAGUACCAUAACCAUCAAGAUGCCAGAUGCGCAGGGUGCGACCCCACCCCUGUGUGCAAGGAACAGAAGCUCCUUUGGAUACCUGUGCAAUGUUCGGCACAUAGGAGGGGUUCAGUAUACACUUGAUGAAAGAAUGAGCAGAUGAAUACACACUGCACAUGUCUGCGUGUAUCUACCUCUUCCAGGCGACUGCUAUGCUGGCCUUACAGUAAAGACAGGCUUCACAAAUAGAAAUGGACACACAAAGUCUAUUUGCUGUCCACUAACUGCAAUGUAUAUAGCUGUUUGCUAAGUGCCAGGUAACACUUUUAUUCAGUACAGAUCUUCUAGUACAAGACUAGUGAUGCUCCUUUUUAAAAAACAAAAGAUACAAAAGAAAAAGUCCUAAACAUCUUCAUGGUAGAAUUUACUCAUGUAAACGACCCACGUUGCUAUUCUGACCCAACGAAAGUAAGAUCCACGGAAAUGUGGAAUUGAACUACAAAAAAUGCAAGGUGUGCAUAUCAAUGUUCAUGCACAAAGCUAGAUGAACAGUCUCUAUAAAUUCACAGAUGAGCUAAGACCUUAAAAAAACAGGGAUGAGAAAGACAACUGGGGAGAGAGGGUGAGCCAGUGAGAAAAGAGUAAAUCAUACACAAAACAGCCAAUAAAAAAAUAAAAAAGCAGUUAAUAUACAUGAAUAAUGGAUGUCUGAUUUAAAAGCAGUUUACUCCAAUAUGAUGUCAUUUUUGACAAUCAGCCAGAGAGACUAUUUUGUAAGUCCUUGCCAGAGAUAAGUCAUAGCGUGAGGCUUGGUAACACGGCCGUAUCUGUGAACAUGUGGAAAAUGACUUUCACCACCAUCCCAAAGGUGACUUUCUGUUGGCAAACAGAAACUUGCCUUUCAGGUGCACUUUGCAGCAGCAACCAAGAUGCUAAUCUUGAAGAAAUGGAUCCCUGACACUCCUGACGUUCCCUGCAACAUGGCACCCCUUAACAGUCUCCAUGACAUGCUUCUGGCACCGUCCAUGCUCAAAUUCAGCACAAAGGGAGAAGCAGCCUGAGCCGCUUUCAUGUUUAAGUUUUAAUUGGAGUGACAAGCCCACGAGGCCAAGAUAUUUCAGGGAUGGGACGGUGUUGCUGAGCGUCGCCAGGCGCUGGGUAGGCAAGGCCUGUGUGCGCUCCCUACCACCACGUGCCAAUGCACCUGCAACCCCCGCUGUUCCAGGACUGGACUCUUCCCGGGCAGGCAGUGCCAAUUGCUGCGGGCUGUGCCAAACGUGGGGGCUUUGUGAUGUGGGCAGAUGUCUACAAAGGACCGGAGCGAGGCCAAACCAACACCUAUUGUGACCUAAGCCUGAAAGGAACCCACAGAGCAAGAGUACACUCGGGUACAAAUGCAGGCAAAAACCAUCCAAACCAGCCAAUCUCUCUCUCUCAGCACGUCUGUAGGCGCUGGGAAUAAUAAAGAAAGGCCAGGUCUACUUUGUGGAGUGAGCAGAAUACGGCUUUCUCUUUGCUUUGGGAUCAUUUUCAUCUCAGUGCUGGUGUAAGGGCCUCAUCCCCACAGAGAGCAUGGGCAGCGUUAAAAUGCCAUGAACACUGACCACAUGGAAAGAAUCACCAAGAGAAAGUUAUUAUAUCUAUCUUACAGAGUGAAAACUGAGGCUGCAAACUAUGAAGUGAACUCUUUAAAAUUAAAGGCAACUUGCGUACUAUUUUGAAAAUGAAAAUGUUACCAUGAAAUGCUCAUAAUGUACAAGUAUCUGUAUGCCAACAGGACUUAGUGAACAUUGUACAUGAAAUUCAGUAUAUUACACUAGCUUGGUUAUCGAUUUUCUUUUGAGUAGCCUGGCAACUUCUAGUUUGGCCCCAAGUUAGACUGGACAAAAGCUUCUAGAAGAAGGCAGGCAGGCAGCUAAAAUCAGAUCACUGAAACAAAUAGCCCCAGGGGGAGACUGGGAAGCCACAGUGAAUAAUCAGGUCCUUUGGCAGAGGGCAGCAGGUCCACCCAGGGGCUCCUCCCAGCCACCUAAGGCAUAAACCACCUCUACUCACUCUACACGGUGCAUGGGGUGUGGCAGAGACAUGUGUUUAGCAGCAUUCUGCACAUAAACCAACACUACACAUAUGAGCUCUUCAUAAUACCCAGGACAUGCCUUUCACACAAAUCCCUUCAGAACAUCCUUCCAUUUGAAACUCACAACCACCCAGAGGCAGAGAAGACAAAUACUCCUGCCUACAUUUUGUGCAUCAAGAAACUGAAGCUUAAAUCAUUUUGAGUAGCUGGCCCCGAAUUACAUGGGCAACAAAAGGAGCUGAGGUGGCACUAGGUAGAGCCCAGCUCAUGUUAUUCCUAUGCCACUUUGCGACCAUAUCACAAUGUCUUUCCUGUCCUGCCAAAAUAAUUAAUAAUAGCUAAUAUUUAUAAUAUUCUCUUACAUGCAAAACACUGCUAUGAUGUGUUAUCUCACCUGACCCCCACAAUGCUGUAAGGUAGGUACCAUGAUUUUACUCCCUUUACACAGGAGAAUAUGGGGCCCCAGAGGGCUCAAACCUCUUGCCCAGUUAGGAAGUUUUGGCACGAGGAUUCAAACCUGGAUGGGUGGGCUCAAAGCUCAUGCUCUUUAAACCUCUACCCCAGGGUGCUCAAAGUAUGGUCCCAGGACUAGCAGCCUCCACUGCCCUGGGCACUUGUUAGACAUGCAAAUUCUCAGGCCCCACCCUGGACCCACUGAGUCAGAAGCUCUGGGGGUGGGGCCAGUGAUCAGUGGUUUCAUCAGGUCUCCUGUAGAUUCUGAAGCAUGCUGGCAUGUGAGAACCCCUGUGCUUACCUAUACUGCCUUUCAGGCUAACGAAGACCUUCAGCCAUGACAGUGGUAAGUAUUAUCCAGCUAUCAAUUCUUACUUCCUGCUUCCAAAUUGCUGCCAGUCUGGGGAAGCAAUAGUGCUGGGCGGUGCUGGUAUGAAAAUAUGAGCUGCAGAUCCCGUGUUCUGUACAAGCUCAGGGCCAGAGCUCUGAUGCUCAAUGAGAGCAGAUAGUUGGUAAGGCUGCUUCUGGUAAGUAGGACUCUUUCAAAAGGACAUGGCGGGACAGGAGAGGAAGAGGGGAUGCUAGUGCCAGUCCCCGGUCAGGAAUGAAUGUGGCACAUUCAGGAUGGUGCUAGCCUGGCUGGAGGUCUGGCUGGAGCAAGGGGCUCAUUCUGGAAGCACAGGACUAGACAGCUGGGAGCUAAGAUGGGGCCCAACUCCCCACAGUCCAGAAGGCCAGGCUGAAGACAGGCACCGGGGCCUUACCCAUACUCCUCGCCAUGCAGCCAGUGCUCUGAGAAAACCUGAAGUGGACCGUGAGGAGGGGCACUGACAGGUGGACAGGUGCCACAAGAGUAUAAAGGUGGGGAAAGGGCAGGCGCAAGCCAGGAAGGGGAAAUGCGCUCGGGGAGGCAUUAUUUUCAUGUCAUUUUCAACAUACUUUUAAAACUUACAAUGAUCUUGAGAUCACAGUUAAGAGUUCACAACCCAAGGAAACAGCACAGUGCAAAGAAGCCACCUGGGCCAGAUGGCCUAACCCUGCAAAGACCCAAAGAAAUCUGGAUGAGGAAUUCAGUUUGGGGCCAGUUGGUCAUCCCACGUCCCUGGCACAGUUCUGAGCAGAGGCAAGCUGAGGCUGGAAGCCAGGUCUGGCAGAGCAGCUCCCUGGACAUAGCCCGCUUCCUCAUUUUAAUGCACCUUCAGCCUCAUGGCUCCUCCCGAGUCCCUUAGUUUGGGAUGUGACCGCUCAGAUGUGGGCUGAGCAGGAGUUUUCCUUUGCUCUCUACAAAGGGGAUUUACCCUGUAAAUUAAUAACACACUGAGGGAAUGCUUUAAAGAGUAACUUUGCGUCCAUUAGAAGGAUUCAUCUGCAACUCAAUAAUUGAUAAGUUAAUUACAAACCCUCUCUCUAACACAGUGCCUUAUAGAAGACUGAAGUGCGGAGGAAAUUAAUAAAUCAUAGUCAUCUAUGUGCUGAAUAAAAAGUUAAAGUUC